GCCUGGGUGGCUCAGUCAGUUGAGCACCCGACUUCCGCUCAGGUCAUGAUCUCGCAGUCUGUGGGUUCGAGCCCCGCGUCGGGCU
rnacentral:tRNA from 1 species